GAGAGAGGCUCGCCAGCAACAAAAACUGCUAAUUUUUCGUCACCUUGGUUGGACCCCAAGGCUCACUCA
ensembl:Mt_tRNA